rnacentral:rRNA from 1 species
GAUGAACGCUGGCGGCGUGCCUAAUACAUGCAAGUCGAGCGAACAGACGAGGAGCUUGCUCCUCUGAUGUUAGCGGCGGACGGGUGAGUAACACGUGGAUAACCUACCUAUAAGACUGGGAUAACUUCGGGAAACCGGAGCUAAUACCGGAUAAUAUAUUGAACCGCAUGGUUCAAUAGUGAAAGACGGUUUUGCUGUCACUUAUAGAUGGAUCCGCGCCGCAUUAGCUAGUUGGUAAGGUAACGGCUUACCAAGGCAACGAUGCGUAGCCGACCUGAGAGGGUGAUCGGCCACACUGGAACUGAGACACGGUCCAGACUCCUACGGGAGGCAGCAGUAGGGAAUCUUCCGCAAUGGGCGAAAGCCUGACGGAGCAACGCCGCGUGAGUGAUGAAGGUCUUCGGAUCGUAAAACUCUGUUAUUAGGGAAGAACAAAUGUGUAAGUAACUGUGCACAUCUUGACGGUACCUAAUCAGAAAGCCACGGCUAACUACGUG